GUAUGCAUUUUUUAUACUCACGCUGAUCCUUCAAUGACGACAGUGUAAGGUAAAGCCCAAUGAUUUAGCAUUCAUAACAAGAAUCUGUCUUUCUUACUCUAUAAUGGGCGCACCAUUCAUUCGCAGGCAAGCAGCGGGAAGCAGGAAAAGGGGGACUAGACGGCACCAGGCAGUAAGUGGCCAUCAUGCAGGUGCAUACACUGACAUUAUGCCUUGCCAUUUUACAUUCCAAGGACACGAGCAGAAGGACAAGCGCAAGGAACAGGACAAGCGCAAGGAUGGUAAGGAUAUGAACAAGAGUCGGGCUCAAACGGGACGUGGCAGGCCACGUAACGGCCGUUCGGAGGUAUGAAGCCUCUGGUGCAAGACCAUGGCUAUUAACUAAAUGCUUUUUAUUGCGUUAUUUCGAGGCACGUUAUGCCGGUGUCACACCUACAGCCGUCAUUGCACGUAACACGCUCACAACUAUGUGUUCCUGCCUAAACAAUGAUUUGUUGUGAUGCAGAAAUAUGCCUUCCGUCGUGAACAUGACACGCGAGCGGAGGCGAGGAUUGAGCGCUUUAACAAGAAGACAAUAGUGGCGGUAUUGUGGUACAGUUACAUGCGCUUAGCUUUUGUGUGCCCAUUUUUUCUGACGUUUAGACUGUUGAACCCGUUUACAUGGAGUUGCUGGCUGAGUUGCAUUAGGAUUUGCUAUGAAUUCGUACCUGUUAUUCAGGAAUAGUUGAAAUGUAUGAAGAAAACAGUGAGUGCUGUGGUUCACAGGUCAUGUGCAACGGCGGUGCACUUUGCACAUUGUACAGCUCGUGUACUGCUAUUGUAAUGCUUUUGUAUUGCACGGUUGGCCGUACAGUUCGCAGUCCCGCACGCAAAUCGCAGUCACUCGCGUAAAAUUCAAAUGGUAGCACAUGAAUUCGCAGGAUUCGCAGUCGCGUAGCCAUUCGCAAUCCCUUGGCGAUGCGCUUGCGUUAAAAGUCAC
rnacentral:lncRNA from 1 species